UACGUAGGGGGCAAGCGUUGUCCGGAUUUAUUGGGCGUAAAGAGCGUGUAGGCGGCCUGGUAGGUCAGCUGUGAAAACUCGAGGCUCAACCUCGAGACGCCGGUUGAAACCAUCAGGCUAGAGUCCGGAAGAGGAGAGUGGAAUUCCCGGUGUAGCGGUGAAAUGCGCAGAUAUCGGGAAGAACACCCGUGGCUAAGGCGGCUCUCUAGUACGGUACUGGACGCUGAGACGCGAAAAGCGUGGGGGAGCGAACAGG
rnacentral:rRNA from 1 species